GCCGGGCAUGGUGGCUCGUGCCUGUAAUCCCAGCAAUUUGGGAGGCUGAGGCGGGUGGAUCACUUGAGGUCAGGAGUUCGAGACUAGCCUGGCCAACAUGGUGAAACCCCUGGCCAACAUGGUGAAACCCCGCCUCUA
rfam:Homo sapiens chromosome 1, GRCh38 reference primary assembly.